CUAUUCUCCAAUUGCAAUAAAUCUGUAUUAGAACAAUGCAGAGAUUAGCAUGGCCCUGUGCAAAGCUAAUACACAAAUUCACAACGUGUUUCACCUUUUU
rnacentral:snRNA from 1 species